CUACGGGUCGCUGCAGCCGAGAAUCUUCCGCAAUGGGCGAAAGCCUGACGGAGCGACGUCGCGUGACUGAUGAAGCACUUCGGUGUGUAAAGGUCUUUUAUGAGGGAGGAAGGCAACUGACGUUACCUCAUGAAUAAGGGGUUCCUAAACUCGUGCCAGCAGGAGCGGUAAUACGAGUACCUCAAGCGUUGUCCGGAAUCACUGGGCGUAAAGGGUGUGUAGGUGGCUAUGUUAGUCUCUCGUUAAAGCUUCCGGCUUAACCGGAAAAUCGCGAGGGAAACGGGAUAGCUAGAGGGAGUGAGAGGUCUGUGGAACCUAUAGUGUAGGGGUGAAAUCCGUUGAUAUUAUAGGGAACACCAAAAGCGAAGGCAACAGACUGGCACUUUCCUGACACUGAGACACGAAAGCGUGGGUAGCGAACGGGAUUAGAUACCCGUGUAGUC
rnacentral:rRNA from 1 species